AGUGAACGCUGGCGGUAGGCCUAACACAUGCGAGUCGAACGGCAGCACAGUAAGAGCUUGCUCUUACGGGUGGCGAGUGGCGGACGGGUGAGGAAUACAUCGGAAUCUACUUUUUCGUGGGGGAUAACGUAGGGAAACUUACGCUAAUACCGCAUACGACCUACGGGUGAAAGCAGGGGAUCUUCGGACCUUGCGCGAUUGAAUGAGCCGAUGUCGGAUUAGCUAGUUGGCGGGGUAAAGGCCCACCAAGGCGACGAUCCGUAGCUGGCCUGAGAGGAUGAUCAGCCACACUGGAACUGAGACACGGUCCAGACUCCUACGGGAGGCAGCAGUGGGGAAUAUUGGACAAUGGGCGCAAGCCUGAUCCAGCCAUACCGCGUGGGUGAAGAAGGCCUUCGGGUUGUAAAGCCCUUUUGUUGGGAAAGAAAAGCAGCAGGUUAAUACCCCGCUGUUCUGACGGUACCCAAAGAAUAAGCACCGGCUAACUUCGUGC
rnacentral:rRNA from 1 species